rnacentral:rRNA from 1 species
CCUACGGGGGGCUGCAGUAAGGAAUAUUGGGCAAUGGAGGCAACUCUGACCCAGCCAUGCCGCGUGAAGGAUGACGGCCCUAUGGGUUGUAAACUUCUUUUAUACGGGAAUAAACCCGGGUACGUGUACCCGGCUGAAUGUACCGUAAGAAUAAGGAUCGGCUAACUCCGUGCCAGCAGCCGCGGUAAUACGGAGGAUCCAAGCGUUAUCCGGAUUCAUUGGGUUUAAAGGGUGCGUAUGCGGCAGCGUAGAAAUUCUGCAGCUUAACUGUAGAAUGGCCGUUGAUACUGCAAGUCUUGAGUACAUUUGAGGUGGGCGGAAUGUGUCGUGUAGCGGUGAAAUGCAUAGAUAUGACACGGAACACCAAUUGCGAAGGCAGCUCACAAAACUGUAACUGACGCUGAGGCACGACAGCGUGGGGAUCAAACAGGAUUAGAUACCCCGGUAGUC